rnacentral:lncRNA from 1 species
CCUGGGCCACCGUGUUGCUGGGUGCAGCAGGUGGCUGCCGUGCUCCGUGGGGUGGGACGGUGUAGCCUGCUUAGCAAGGGAGCCAGUGAAAGCUCCAUGACUGAAGGGACCCUCGAGCAGGUGCACAGCUGACUGGGGGCACUGCACAAGGACCUCAAGGGCCAGCUCAGCCUUAGCAACAAAAACAGCAAAACCCUGACUGG